GUGCUCAUUUGGCAGCACACAUACUACAAUUGGAACUAUACAGAGAAGAUUAGCAUGGUCCCUGAGCAAGGAUGACAGGCAAAUUCGUGAAGCGUUCCAUAUUAAA
ensembl:snRNA U6 U6 spliceosomal RNA